UCCUGAGAGAUGACAAAGAGGACGACAGCCCGAGUAUAUAAUUCUUAAGGAAAGCAUCUUUUGUCUCAGUCUGAGGUAAUUCAUUCCCUUUGUCCAUGUACAGCAAUCCAAAUAAUAUUUCAUAUGGUGAAACUCCCACAUCUUUUCUUGGUGCAGUUUGAAUUCAAAGAAGUGCCAAAGGUAAGCACUUCUAUCUAUUUUAAUUAAUUUUCCAAUACUUUCAAGCCCUGUUUUCCCAGAAAGUCAAAUAGCUUGUUAGUGGCUUCCUUCACAGAUGCUUUCUCCUGUCCUGACAAAAAAGAUCAUCCACAUAUUGUAACAGUAACACCUCCUCGGGAGGUUGGAAUUGCUCCAAAAUUUGUUCUAGAACUGACCCAAAUAAAUUGGUGGACCUGUAAACCCCUGAGGUAAAAUUGUCCAUCUGUAUUGCUGCUUCUGCCCAAUUUCAGGGUCUUUCCACU